rnacentral:rRNA from 1 species
UACGUAGGCAGCGAGCGUUGUUCGGAGUUACUGGGCGUAAAGGGUGUGUAGGCGGUUGUUUAAGUUUGGUGUGAAAUCUCCCGGCUCAACUGGGAGGGUGCGCCGAAUACUGAAUAACUAGAGUGCGGGAGAGGAAAGUGGAAUUCCUAGUGUAGCGGUGAAAUGCGUAGAUAUCGAGAGGAACACCUGAGGUGAAGACGGGUUGCUGGGCCGACACUGACGCUGAGUGCGCGAAAGCCAGGGGAGCAAACGGG